GUGCUCNCUUCGGCAGUACAUAUACUAAGAUUGGAAUGAUACAGAGAAGAUUAUCAUGGCCCCUGUGCAAGAUUCGUGAAGCGUUCCAUCCGGAU
rnacentral:snRNA from 1 species